CCAGUUGAUUAGGGUAUUUAGCUGUUAACUAAAAUUUCGUGGGGUUAGGGCCCACCAAUCUAG
rnacentral:tRNA from 1 species